rnacentral:rRNA from 1 species
GACGAACGCUGGCGGCGUGCCUAAUACAUGCAAGUCGAACGCUUUUUCUUUCACCGGAGCUUGCUCCACCGAAAGAACAAGAGUGGCGAACGGGUGAGUAACACGUGGGUAACCUGCCCAUCAGAAGGGGAUAACACUUGGAAACAGGUGCUAAUACCGUAUAACACUAUUUUCCGCAUGGAAGAAAGUUGAAAGGCGCUUUUGCGUCACUGAUGGAUGGACCCGCGGUUCAUUAGCUAGUUGGUGAGGUAACGGCUCACCAAGGCAACGAUGAAGAGGCGACAUGAGAGGGGGAUCGGCCACACUGGGACGGGGACACGGCCCAGACUCCUACGGGAGGCAGCAGUAGGGAAUCUUCGGCAAUGGACGAAAGUCUGACCGAGCAACGCCGCGUUAGUGAAGAAGGUUUUCGGAUCGUAAAACUCUGUUGUUAGAGAAGAACAAGGAUGAGAGUAAAAUGUUCAUCCCUUGACGGUAUCUAACCAGAAAGCCACGGCUAACUACGUGCCAGCAGCCGCGGUAA